GUGGCGAACGGGUGAGUAACACGUGGGCAAUCUGCCCUGCACUCUGGGACAAGCCCUGGAAACGGGGUCUAAUACCGGAUAUGACUGUCCAUCGCAUGGUGGAUGGUGUAAAGCUCCGGCGGUGCAGGAUGAGCCCGCGGCCUAUCAGCUUGUUGGUGAGGUAGUGGCUCACCAAGGCGACGACGGGUAGCCGGCCUGAGAGGGCGACCGGCCACACUGGGACUGAGACACGGCCCAGACUCCUACGGGAGGCAGCAGUGGGGAAUAUUGCACAAUGGGCGAAAGCCUGAUGCAGCGACGCCGCGUGAGGGAUGACGGCCUUCGGGUUGUAAACCUCUUUCAGCAGGGAAGAAGCGAAAGUGACGGUACCUGCAGAAGAAGCGCCGGCUAACUACGUGCCAGCAGCCGCGGUAAUACGUAGGGCGCAAGCGUUGUCCGGA
rnacentral:rRNA from 1 species